rnacentral:rRNA from 1 species
AUGCGACACUUCAAGAGCAACCUUUCCCAAGAUGCUAUUACCCAGUUUACGUCCAUGUGGAAUGACCUGCAGCCGGUGCAGCUAUCCGAAAAUCAGGAAGACACCUUAACUUGGCGUUGGACUGCAAACGGCCAAUUUUCCUCCUGCUCAGCAUACACAGCUACUCUCACUGUCAACAUCAAACCGCUGUUUGCUAAGUUGGCCUGGAGCUCCGAUGCACCCCCUAAGUGCCAGUUUUUCGUUUGGUUGGCUGCUCAAGAGCGAUGCCUGACGGCAGACAACCUAGCAAAAAGGGGAUGUCCUCACAACCGCCUAUGCUCUCUAUGCCUUCAUGAACCAGAAUCUGCUACGCACUUGCUUGCUACAUGCUCAUUUGCUAAGGAAAUCUGGCACUUGACCUUUAGCAUGCUUGAUAUGCACCACAGUUUGAUGGCCAACGAUGGGGAGUCCCUCACUCGCUGGUGGCAACGCUCCAGUUCGGCGAUGACCAGGGACAAGGCAAAGACUUGGCGGUCCAUUAUUGCUCUUGUGUGGUGGAACAUCUGGAAAGAAACAAAUGCGAGGGUAUUCACUAAUUCAUCCUGCAGUGCAAGACCCCUGUUCCAGAAGAUUCAAGUUGAAGCCAAGGAUUGGAUUGAUGCUGGCCAUAGGAGAGUUCUACACCUUGUCGAGCGACCCUUAGAACCUGAUUGA